rnacentral:rRNA from 1 species
AACAAACGCUGGCGGCGUGCCUAAUACAUGCAAGUCGAACGGGGAAAGCUUUCGGGUGAGUACUAGUGGCGCACGGGUGAGUAACGCGUGGAUAAUCUGCCUUAGAGUGGGGGAUAACUAGUCGAAAGAUUAGCUAAUACCGCAUAAGACCACAAGAACUGCGGUUCAAGGGGUCAAAGGUUUUUCGCUCUAAGAUGAGUCCGCGUAAGAUUAGCUAGUUGGUGAGGUAAUGGCUCACCAAGGCGACGAUCUUUAACUGGUCUGAGAGGAUGAUCAGUCACACUGGAACUGAGACACGGUCCAGACUCCUACGGGAGGCAGCAGUAGGGAAUAUUGCACAAUGGAGGAAACUCUGGUGCAGCGACGCCGCGUGAGUGAUGAAGGCCUUCGGGUCGUAAAGCUCUGUCGCAAGGGAAUAACACAAUGAAUGUACCUUGCAAGAAAGGAUCGGCUAACUUCGUGCCAGCAGCCGCCGUAAAAC